GACGUAGGGGGCCAGCGUUGUUCGGAAUUACUGGGUGUAAAGGGUUCGUAGGCGGUGCGGCAAGUCGGGAGUGAAAUCUCUGGGCUUAACCCAGAGGCUGCUUCCGAAACUGCUGUGCUUGAGUGUGGGAGAGGCGCGUGGAAUUGCAGGUGUAGCGGUGAAAUGCGUAGAUAUCUGCAGGAACACCCGUGGCGAAAGCGGCGCGCUGGACCACUACUGACGCUGAGGUGCGAAAGCGUGGGGAGCAAACAGG
rnacentral:rRNA from 1 species